GACGAACGCUGGCGGCGUGCUUAACACAUGCAAGUCGAACGGAAAGGCCCUGCUUUUGUGGGGUGCUCGAGUGGCGAACGGGUGAGUAACACGUGAGUAACCUGCCCUUGACUUUGGGAUAACUUCAGGAAACUGGGGCUAAUACCGGAUAGGAGCUCCUGCUGCAUGGUGGGGGUUGGAAAGUUUCGGCGGUUGGGGAUGGACUCGCGGCUUAUCAGGUUGUUGGUGGGGUAGUGGCUUACCAAGGCUUUGACCGGUAGCCGGCCUGAGAGGGUGACCGGCCACAUUGGGACUGAGAUACGGCCCAGACUCCUACGGGAGGCAGCGGUGGGGAGUAUUACACAGUGGGCGGAAGCCUGAUGCAGCAACGCCGCGUGCGGGAUGACGGCCUUCGGGUUGUAAACCGCUUUCGCCUGUGACGAAGCGUGAGUGACGGUAAUGGGUGAAGAAGCACCGGCUAACUACGUG
rnacentral:rRNA from 1 species